AGUUUUAGUUUUUACAUGUAAGGUUUUCUAUCAUUAAGCCACAAAAGGUUUAAAGAGAACAAUAAAAAAAUGUCGUCAUCCAAAUUUGCUAUCUUUUGUAUCAUCCUCUUUUCCCUUUCUAGUCUUUAUGAAUGUACAAACGUGGAAGGUUUUGAGGCAAGUAAGAUAAACUUACCAAAGUGCCUGCCAGGCCGUUGUGAGGGCAGAAAAAAAUGUUUUUGUUGCCGAUAUGUUAGACCUAGAUUCUGCGCACCUGUCUGUCCCUAAGCUUAAUCCAUUGCCUUUUUCAAAGAUUUAAGAAAUUUGAGAAGCACUCGUAGACAUAUUGUAUGUGUGCUCUUCUUUUUCGAUUUAUCUAGUACGAAUAAUAUUAAUACGAUGACAAAAAAAAAAAAAAAGAAUAAUAUUAAUACCAAAAUAUUAUUGUCCAUCCGUUUUCUUUUUAUCUGUUUUAAAAAGGAAACAUGAAGACGAAAAAGUAAACCAAUAAUCCCAAAGUCUCUAUAUACAAUAAUGUAGACACAUCUGUACUUUCAAAAUUUCGAAAUAAAGGUUUUUUUUUUUGCU